rnacentral:lncRNA from 1 species
UGGGAGACGAUGCUAGGGGGUCUAGGAGUCCUCCGAACCCUGCCUCUCCUCCUCCUCUUCCUGUCCGAAGCCUGCCUGGGUCCUGGAUGCCAGGCCCUGAUGUUAGAAAGGGAUCCACCAUCCCUGACGGUGAACUUGGGUGAGGAGGCCGUCCUCACCUGUAAGAACGACGGCAAGAACCCUAAUAUCACAUGGUGGUUCAGUCUCCAGUCCAACAGCACAUGGCCCCCAAUGCCACUGGGUCCUGGCCUGGGUCCCAUGGGCAAGCUGAUCUUCCCCGAAGUUAACAAGAGCCACAGGGGCUUGUACUGGUGCCAAGUGAUAGAGAGCAAAGAAGUAAAGCGUUCCUGUGGCACUUACCUCCGAGUGCGCAGUGAGUAGGGAGGGGCACUGACCCUGGAGUUCUGUUCUCCGGCUCAUCCAGAACACUGGAAGCAGAGAGCCAGCUCCUCCCUCCUGGACCUGCAACCUGUAACCCUGGCAGGUCACCUGCCAGAUGGUGGCUUCAGGGUUCCCUGACCUCGCAAGGAGCAGGGCUGGGAGAGGAAGGGAUACCAGAACACUAAGCAGCACCCUGUCUUCACAGAGCAAGUCCCGAGGCCCUUCCUGGACAUGGGGGAAGGCACCAAGAACCGCAUCAUCACGGCAGAAGGGAUCAUCUUGCUGUUCUGUGCAGUGGUGCCAGGGACGCUGCUGCUUUUCAGGAAGCGGUGGCAAAAUGAGAAGUUUGGAGUGGACAUGCCAGAUGACUACGAAGAUGAAAAUCUCUAUGAGGGCCUGAAUCUUGAUGACUGCUCUAUGUAUGAGGACAUCUCCAGGGGACUCCAGGGCACCUACCAGGACGUGGGCAG